rnacentral:rRNA from 1 species
ACGAAAAAUAACGAUACGGGACUCAUCCGAGGCCCCGUAAUCGGAAUGAGUACACUCUAAACCCUUUAACGAGGAUCAAUUGGAGGGCAAGUCUGGUGCCAGCAGCCGCGGUAAUUCCAGCUCCAAUAGCGUAUAUUAAAGUUGUUGCGGUUAAAAAGCUCGUAGUCGAAUUUGUGUCCCGCGCCGCCGGUUCAUCGCUCGCGGUGUCAACUGGCGUGUCCGCGGGACGUCCUGCCGGUGGGCUUAGCCCCUCGCGGGCGGCCCAAUCUCAAUCCCACCGCGGUGCUCUUCACUGAGUGUCGAGGUGGGCCGGCACGUUUACUUUGAACAAAUUAGAGUGCUUAAAGCAGGCUAAAACAUCGCCUGAAUACUGUGUGCAUGGAAUAAUGGAAUAGGACCUCGGUUCUAUUUUGUUGGUUUUCGGAACCCCGAGGUAAUGAUUAAUAGGAACGGAUGGGGGCAUUCGUAUUGCGACGUUAGAGGUGAAAUUCUUGGAUCGUCGCAAGACGGACAGAAGCGAAAGCAUUUGCCAAAAACGCUUUCAUUGAUCAAGAACGAAAGUUAGAGGUUCGAAGGCGAUCAGAUACCGCCCUAGUUCUAACCAUAAACGAUGCCAGCUAGCGAUCCGCCGACGUUCCUCCGAUGACUCGGCGGGCAGCUUCCGGGAAACCAAAGCUUUUGGGUUCCGGGGGAAGUAUGGUUGCAAAGCUGAAACUUAAAGGAAUUGACGGAAGGGCACCACCAGGAGUGGAGCCUGCGGCUUAAUUUGACUCAACACGGGAAACCUCACCAGGCCCGGACACCGGAAGGAUUGACAGAUUGAGAGC